rnacentral:rRNA from 1 species
UGGGGAAUAUUGGACAAUGGGGGAAACCCUGAUCCAGCCAUGCCGCGUGUGUGAAGUAGGCCUUUUGGUUGUAAAGCACUUUAAGCAGUGAAGAAGACUCUUCGGUUAAUACUCGGAGACGAUGACAUUAGCUGCAGAAUAAGGACCGGCUAACUCUGUGCCAGCAGCCGCGGUAAUACAGAGGGUGCAAGCGUUAAUCGGAAUUACUGGGCGUAAAGCGAGCGUAGGUGGCUUGAUAAGUCAGAUGUGAAAUCCCCGGGCUUAACCUGGGAACUGCAUCUGAAACUGUUAGGCUAGAGUAGGUGAGAGGGAAGUAAGAUUUCAGGUGUAGCGGUGAUAUGCGUAGAGAGCUGCAGGAAUACCGAUGGCGAAGGGAGCUUCCUGGCAUCAUACUGAAACUGAGGCUCGAAAGCGUGGGUAGCAAACAGG